rnacentral:piRNA from 1 species
UUAUGAAAUCGCCUUGAUGAGUUC